GGAGAAGGUAUAAUAGGGCUAUUUAGUAUAAAUUUCAUGUAUAAGUUUAUAUAGCAUGCCAUUUUUUCCACUAGUAACUGGAGAGAAGACAAAGGCAACCCUUGGCCAGAAUAAAGACCCUCAGAAUAAGUAGAACUCCCAUGUUACUUGUGUGAUAUCUGGAUCGAAACAACCGCAUCACACUGGUUACCUCUUACCUCUUCAGAAAGCAAUUGCAG
rnacentral:misc_RNA from 1 species